UGCAUCGGCCGGGAAUCGAACCCAGGCAGGCGAGCAUUCUACCACUGAACCACCGAUGG
rnacentral:tRNA from 1 species